UUAAAUUGAAGAGUUUGAUCAUGGCUCAGAUUGAACGCUGGCGGCAGGCCUAACACAUGCAAGUCGAACGGUAACAGAAAGCAGCUUGCUGCUUUGCUGACGAGUGGCGGACGGGUGAGUAAUGUCUGGGAAACUGCCUGAUGGAGGGGGAUAACUACUGGAAACGGUAGCUAAUACCGCAUAACGUCGCAAGACCAAAGAGGGGGACCUUCGGGCCUCUUGCCAUCGGAUGUGCCCAGAUGGGAUUAGCUUGUUGGUGGGGUAACGGCUCACCAAGGCGACGAUCCCUAGCUGGUCUGAGAGGAUGACCAGCCACACUGGAACUGAGACACGGUCCAGACUCCUACGGGAGGCAGCAGUGGGGAAUAUUGCACAAUGGGCGCAAGCCUGAUGCAGCCAUGCCGCGUGUAUGAAGAAGGCCUUCGGGUUGUAAAGUACUUUCAGCGGGGAGGAAGGGAGUAAAGUUAAUACCUUUACUCAUUGACGUUACCCGCAGAAGAAGCACCGGCUAACUCCGUGCCAGCAGCCGCGGUAAUACGGAGGGUGCAAGCGUUAAUCGGAAUUACUGGGCGUAAAGCGCACGCAGGCGGUUUGUUAAGUCAGAUGUGAAAUCCCCGGGCUCAACCUGGGAACUGCAUCUGAUACUGGCAAGCUUGAGUCUCGUAGAGGGGGGUAGAAUUCCAGGUGUAGCGGUGAAAUGCGUAGAGAUCUGGAGGAAUACCGGUGGCGAAGGCGGCCCCCUGGACGAAGACUGACGCUCAGGUGCGAAAGCGUGGGGAGCAAACAGGAUUAGAUACCCUGGUAGUCCACGCCGUAAACGAUGUCGACUUGGAGGUUGUGCCCUUGAGGCGUGGCUUCCGGAGCUAACGCGUUAAGUCGACCGCCUGGGGAGUACGGCCGCAAGGUUAAAACUCAAAUGAAUUGACGGGGGCCCGCACAAGCGGUGGAGCAUGUGGUUUAAUUCGAUGCAACGCGAAGAACCUUACCUGGUCUUGACAUCCACGGAAGUUUUCAGAGAUGAGAAUGUGCCUUCGGGAACCGUGAGACAGGUGCUGCAUGGCUGUCGUCAGCUCGUGUUGUGAAAUGUUGGGUUAAGUCCCGCAACGAGCGCAACCCUUAUCCUUUGUUGCCAGCGGUCCGGCCGGGAACUCAAAGGAGACUGCCAGUGAUAAACUGGAGGAAGGUGGGGAUGACGUCAAGUCAUCAUGGCCCUUACGACCAGGGCUACACACGUGCUACAAUGGCGCAUACAAAGAGAAGCGACCUCGCGAGAGCAAGCGGACCUCAUAAAGUGCGUCGUAGUCCGGAUUGGAGUCUGCAACUCGACUCCAUGAAGUCGGAAUCGCUAGUAAUCGUGGAUCAGAAUGCCACGGUGAAUACGUUCCCGGGCCUUGUACACACCGCCCGUCACACCAUGGGAGUGGGUUGCAAAAGAAGUAGGUAGCUUAACCUUCGGGAGGGCGCUUACCACUUUGUGAUUCAUGACUGGGGUGAAGUCGUAACAAGGUAACCGUAGGGGAACCUGCGGUUGGAUCACCUCCUUACCUUAAAGAAGC
rnacentral:rRNA from 1 species